CCGCGUCUACAUAGAGGAAGAUGAAGGAUUCAAGGAGAUAUAUCCACUAUCAGGUGCAGCUAGAAGAUCAACUUAAUUUCGUUAUUCUUGUAUUGAACUUUUAUUUUUUUUAUUUUUUUAUUUAAUCAAUAAAAAAUAUUUUUUUUAUAAUUUUUUUAUUUUUUUCUUAGUUUCUUAUAAUCUAUUAUUUUUUUAUUUAUAUUUUUGAAACAAUCGACUAAGAUCCCUAUGGAUACGAUCCCGACUCACCCUAUCUAUAUAGUAGUGAGUAGGGUUAAUUUUGGUAUGCUACGACAUGCAUCAAUGACCACUCUUCUCAUCUUGUGGCCAAUAAGUCAUCC
rnacentral:lncRNA from 1 species